UUAAGCGACUAAGCGUACACGGUGGAUGCCCUGGCAGUCAGAGGCGAUGAAGGACGUGCUAAUCUGCGAUAAGCGUCGGUGAGGUGAUAUGAACCGUUAUAACCGGCGAUUUCCGAAUGGGGAAACCCAGUGUGUUUCGACACACUAUCAUUAACUGAAUCCAUAGGUUAAUGAGGCGAACCGGGGGAACUGAAACAUCUAAGUACCCCGAGGAAAAGAAAUCAACCGAGAUUCCCCCAGUAGCGGCGAGCGAACGGGGAGGAGCCCAGAGCCUGAAUCAGUGUGUGUGUUAGUGGAAGCGUCUGGAAAGGCGUGCGAUACAGGGUGACAGCCCCGUACACAAAAAUGCACAUAUUGUGAGCUCGAUGAGUAGGGCGGGACACGUGGUAUCCUGUCUGAAUAUGGGGGGACCAUCCUCCAAGGCUAAAUACUCCUGACUGACCGAUAGUGAACCAGUACCGUGAGGGAAAGGCGAAAAGAACCCCGGCGAGGGGAGUGAAAAAGAACCUGAAACCGUGUACGUACAAGCAGUGGGAGCCUCUUUAUGGGGUGACUGCGUACCUUUUGUAUAAUGGGUCAGCGACUUAUAUUCUGUAGCAAGGUUAACCGAAUAGGGGAGCCGAAGGGAAACCGAGUCUUAACUGGGCGUUAAGUUGCAGGGUAUAGACCCGAAACCCGGUGAUCUAGCCAUGGGCAGGUUGAAGGUUGGGUAACACUAACUGGAGGACCGAACCGACUAAUGUUGAAAAAUUAGCGGAUGACUUGUGGCUGGGGGUGAAAGGCCAAUCAAACCGGGAGAUAGCUGGUUCUCCCCGAAAGCUAUUUAGGUAGCGCCUCGUGAAUUCAUCUCCGGGGGUAGAGCACUGUUUCGGCAAGGGGGUCAUCCCGACUUACCAACCCGAUGCAAACUGCGAAUACCGGAGAAUGUUAUCACGGGAGACACACGGCGGGUGCUAACGUCCGUCGUGAAGAGGGAAACAACCCAGACCGCCAGCUAAGGUCCCAAAGUCAUGGUUAAGUGGGAAACGAUGUGGGAAGGCCCAGACAGCCAGGAUGUUGGCUUAGAAGCAGCCAUCAUUUAAAGAAAGCGUAAUAGCUCACUGGUCGAGUCGGCCUGCGCGGAAGAUGUAACGGGGCUAAACCAUGCACCGAAGCUGCGGCAGCGACACUAUGUGUUGUUGGGUAGGGGAGCGUUCUGUAAGCCUGUGAAGGUGGCCUGUGAGGGGUGCUGGAGGUAUCAGAAGUGCGAAUGCUGACAUAAGUAACGAUAAAGCGGGUGAAAAGCCCGCUCGCCGGAAGACCAAGGGUUCCUGUCCAACGUUAAUCGGGGCAGGGUGAGUCGACCCCUAAGGCGAGGCCGAAAGGCGUAGUCGAUGGGAAACAGGUUAAUAUUCCUGUACUUGGUGUUACUGCGAAGGGGGGACGGAGAAGGCUAUGUUGGCCGGGCGACGGUUGUCCCGGUUUAAGCGUGUAGGCUGGUUUUCCAGGCAAAUCCGGAAAACCAAGGCUGAGGCGUGAUGACGAGGCACUACGGUGCUGAAGCGACAAAUGCCCUGCUUCCAGGAAAAGCCUCUAAGCAUCAGGUAACAUCAAAUCGUACCCCAAACCGACACAGGUGGUCAGGUAGAGAAUACCAAGGCGCUUGAGAGAACUCGGGUGAAGGAACUAGGCAAAAUGGUGCCGUAACUUCGGGAGAAGGCACGCUGAUAUGUAGGUGAAGCGACUUGCUCGUGGAGCUGAAAUCAGUCGAAGAUACCAGCUGGCUGCAACUGUUUAUUAAAAACACAGCACUGUGCAAACACGAAAGUGGACGUAUACGGUGUGACGCCUGCCCGGUGCCGGAAGGUUAAUUGAUGGGGUUAGCGGUAACGCGAAGCUCUUGAUCGAAGCCCCGGUAAACGGCGGCCGUAACUAUAACGGUCCUAAGGUAGCGAAAUUCCUUGUCGGGUAAGUUCCGACCUGCACGAAUGGCGUAAUGAUGGCCAGGCUGUCUCCACCCGAGACUCAGUGAAAUUGAACUCGCUGUGAAGAUGCAGUGUACCCGCGGCAAGACGGAAAGACCCCGUGAACCUUUACUAUAGCUUGACACUGAACAUUGAGCCUUGAUGUGUAGGAUAGGUGGGAGGCUUUGAAGUGUGGACGCCAGUCUGCAUGGAGCCGACCUUGAAAUACCACCCUUUAAUGUUUGAUGUUCUAACGUUGGCCCGUAAUCCGGGUUGCGGACAGUGUCUGGUGGGUAGUUUGACUGGGGCGGUCUCCUCCUAAAGAGUAACGGAGGAGCACGAAGGUUGGCUAAUCCUGGUCGGAC
rnacentral:rRNA from 2 species